rnacentral:lncRNA from 1 species
GUUAGUUAAUUUGGAUACCACAAAAAUUCGAUACGGAUAAAAUACGAAUAAAAUUCAUAUCUUGAUUUUUAAAUUCGUUGAAAAAUACGGUUUAAAAGUCGGAUUCGUCAAUAAUUCGUAUAUGCGAUUUAUACGAGAAUUCAUUUGUUAAAUUAAAAUACGAGAAUACGUUUAUCAUUUAAAAAUUCGGAACAAAAAUUCGUCUGUUAAAUUAAAAUUUUUCUUUAGAUUUAUGCUAUUAACAUAAAUAAUUAUAAUUCUUAUAAAUAUAAAAAUAAAAUUUUAUUUAUAUAUAUAUAUAUAUAUAUAAAACUAGGCUGGAAUACUAUCAAUAGCACCAAGCUAUUGGUGCUAUUAGUUUUUUAACCCUUUGAUUAAGAAAUGUGUGGUUAAGAUGAUAUGGGCCUCCUAAGGUUAAAUGAGUGGUUGGUUGAAUAAUAUAAUCUAACGGAUAAAAAUAAUCAAAGGGUUAAAUCUAACGGUAGAAAACUCGAUAGUACCAAAUCCUUGGUGCUAUCGGUAGUAUUCCAGCCGAACUCUCUCUCUCUCUCUCUCUCUCUCUCUCUCUCUCUCUCUCUCUCUCUCUCUCUCUAUAUAUAUAUAUAUAUAUAUAUAUAUAUAUAUAGUCCGCCUAUGGUGCUUGUAAAAGUACCAACCACUUAGUGCUUGUAAACUUUUUACCGUUAGAUUUACGCCUUUGAUCAUUUUCAUCCGUUAGAUUAUACUAUUCAACCAACCACCCACUCAAUCCUAGGGAAUCCACAUCAUCCUAACCGUACAUCCAUUGAUCCAACAGCUAAAAAUCUAUAAGCACCAAUAACUUGGUACUUUUAAAAGCGUAGGAGCUCAAUUAUACAUAUAUAGAAUUGAGCUCCUAUACUUUUAAAAGUACCAAGUUAUUGGUACUUGUAGAUUUUUGGCCGUUGGAUCAAGGGAUGUACGGUUAGGAUGAUAUGGGCCCCUUAGGGUUGAGUGGGUGGUUGAUUGAAUAGUAUAAUUUAAUGGAUGAAAAUGAUAAAAAAUGUAGAUCUAACGGUAAAAAAUUUACAAGCACCAAGUGCUUGGUGUUUUUAUAAGCACUAAGUGCUUGGUGCUUUUAUAAGUACCAUAGCCGGACUAUAUAUAUAGUUGAGCUAGAAUACUCUCAAAAGCACCAAGGGGUUGGUACUUUUGAGUUUUUAGUCAUUGGAUGGAGAGAUGUAUGGUUGAGAUGAUGGUGACAGGUGGUGGUAGGUGGAAUAGUAUUUGAUCCAAAGGUUAAGUAGUAGAUUCAAGGGCUAGAAACUUAGAAGCACCAAGCGGUUGGUGCUUCUAAAAGUAUUCUAGCUCAAUUAUAUAUAUAUAUAUAUAUAUAUAUAUAUAUAUAUAUAUAGAACACGGCUAGAAUGCUACUGAUAGUAAGAGAAUAGUAUUUACUAUCAAUUUUUGGAUACUUGGAUGCCUAUAAUUUAAUAAGAACCAGUGAAAUAAUGAU